rnacentral:rRNA from 1 species
UACGGAGGGUGCGAGCGUUGUCCGGAAUCACUGGGCGUAAAGGGCGCGUAGGCGGCGCGGGGAGUCAACGGUGAAAGCUCGGCGCUCAACGCCGAGUCGGCCGUCGAUACUCCCGUGCUUGAGCACUGUAGAGGCAGGUGGAAUUCCGGGUGUAGCGGUGGAAUGCGUAGAGAUCAGGAAGAACACCCGUGGCUAAGGCGGCUCUCUAGUACGGUACUGACGCUGAGACGCGAAAGCGUGGGGAGCGAACAGG